GUGGUCAGGAUACUAAAAUCAGCCAGGCUGCUCCUCAAAAUGCAGAUUCCUUGAAACCCCCCCAGACCUACUGGACCAGAAUCUCUGAGAGCACAGCUGGUUUCUCAGAAACCAGGAAAUACAUUUGUGGCACAUACGACGGACAGAGGUUAACCCUGUUAACGUACAAACUGCUGAAGUAGCGACAGGAAAACCGCCCAGACAUGGUGAAUGCACAGGGGAUGCAGUGCCGCGCCUCGCAGCAGAACAGUAAGAGUGUGCACGACACCAGCGCCCCCAUUUGUGAGGAACUGAGUAAUUGGGGCCCUUUACACGUGUGUUCCGUAAUCUCCCCCGCUCUGCCUUGUUGGAAGCUUUGGAACUACCGAGGUUGAAAGGACUGUCGGCACAGAGGCGGUGGUGCCCGGACGUGAGCGUCUGACUCGCCGGCGCUGAAGCCGUCUGGAGUGUGGGUGCGUCUGCACACGUGACGUGCGUCGUGUGCCUGGGCCCUGGUUUCCCGGGGCUCCAGAGUGGCCACUGUGCACUCCUGUGUUAGACCCCAGAGGGUUGUGAUGUCCUCAAGGCCACCAGUCAGAGUCAACAGGCCCGCGCUCCUCUGACGCUCUAGGGAGAACCCCUCGUUGCCUCUUCCUGGUUUCCUGGCCGCCCUUGGCCGCAAGCUUGGCCACCUCGGUGCCACCUGCAUCUUCCUAGAUUCUCUCUGUGCCUCAGUGUUUCUCCGUCACUGGAUACAGGGCCUGCCCUAAUCCACUGUGACCUCAUCCUAACGUGAUUCCGUCUGCAGACUACACCUGAGGUUCUGCGUGGCCAUGAAUUUUGGGAGAUGCUGUUCAACCCAGUACGGUCCAUCCUCCACCUUCCCCCAUAAAUGUAUCUCUUUCCCACGUACAAAAUAAAUUCAUCCCGUCCCAG